UCAAGCCAGUGAUGAUAAAGUUAUCCCUGUCUGAAUUUUAAGUGAUGAGUCAUGGUAACCUGAGGCUUGA
rnacentral:snoRNA from 1 species